UUCGAUUCCGGAGAGGGAGCCCUGAGAAAUGGCUACCACUCUAAGGAGGGCAGCAGGCGCGCAAAUUACCCAAUCCUAAUACUGGGAGGUAGUGACAAUAAAUAACAAUGCUGAAGUUUAUACUUUGGUAAUUGGAAUGAGAACAAUUUAAACCCCCUUAACGAGUAACCAUCAGAGGGCAAGUCUGGUGCCAGCAGCCGCGGUAAUUCCAGCUCUGAUAGCGUAUAUUAAAGUUGUUGCAGUUAAAAAGCUCGUAGUUGGAUUUUAGAGUGUAUUGAUAUGGUCUCUUGUGAUAAACUUGUUGUACUGUGUUAAUUACUCUUUCCUACUGGUUACUCGACUCUGUUAUGGAGUAGUGUCGCAAGGCAUCGCUUAGUAUUUUAUUGCUUUUAGAUGUAGUAAUUGGGUAAAACCGGUUGCGAAACCUAAGGGGAUCACAGUAAGGUAUUAAGUGGGGUUCCAGUUCAUUUACUUUGAGUAAAUUAGAGUGUUCAAAGCAGCCUGUAUGGGCAUUGAAUAGAUUAGCAUGGGAUGC
rnacentral:rRNA from 1 species